CGGACGGGUGAGUAAUGUCUGGGAAACUGCCCGAUGGAGGGGGAUAACUACUGGAAACGGUAGCUAAUACCGCAUAACGUCGCAAGACCAAAGAGGGGACCUUCGGGCCUCUUGCCAUCGGAUGUGCCCAGAUGGGAUUAGCCAGUAGGUGGGGUAACGGCUCACCUAGGCGACGAUCCCUAGCUGGUCUGAGAGGAUGACCAGCCACACUGGAACUGAGACACGGUCCAG
rnacentral:rRNA from 1 species